UACGUAGGGUGCAGGCGUUAAUCGGAAUUACUGGGCGUAAAGCGUGCGCAGGCGGUUCGUUAAGUCAGAUGUGAAAGCCCCGGGCUUAACCUGGGAACUGCAUUUGUGACUGCAUCGCUGGAGUGCGGCAGAGGGGGAUGGAAUUCCGCGUGUAGCAGGUGAAAUGCGUAGAUAUGCGGAGGAACACCGAUGGCGAAGGCAAUCCCCUGGGCCUGCACUGACGCUCAUGCACGAAAGCGUGGGGAGCAAACAGG
rnacentral:rRNA from 1 species